rnacentral:tRNA from 1 species
GGUUUGUGGCUCAGCGGUAGAGUGCUUGCCUAGCAUGGGCAAGGCCCUGGGUUUGAUCCUCAGCACCA